CUCAAAGUAAGUUAAAAAACUGUUGAACUUUUAAUUCAAUUUUAUAGUCUACCUACCCACCCCACUACUAUCUUUGAGA
rnacentral:tRNA from 1 species